rnacentral:rRNA from 1 species
UCAAGCGACUAAGUGCAUGUGGUGGAUGCCUUGGCGAUCACAGGCGAUGAAGGACGUGCAAGCCUGCGAAAAGCGGGGGGGAGCUGGCAAUGAAGCUUUGAUCCCCCGAUAUCCGAAUGGGGAAACCCACUCAGCAAUGAGUAUCCCUGACUGAAUACAUAGGUCAGGGAGGCGAACCCGGUGAACUGAAACAUCUAAGUAGCCGGAGGAAAAGAAAUCAACCGAGAUUCCCCAAGUAGUGGCGAGCGAACGGGGAAGAGCCUGCUAGUGAUAGCGGAACUGUUAAGAGAACGGAAUGGAAAGUCCGGCCGUAGUGGGUGAUAGCCCCGUAUUUGAAAACAGAUCCGUGGUACUAAGUUAGCGAAAAGUAGGGCGGGGCACGUGAAACCUUGUCUGAACAUGGGGGGACCAUCCUCCAAGGCUAAAUACUCGUGAUCGACCGAUAGUGAACCAGUACCGUGAGGGAAAGGCGAAAAGAACCCCGGGAGGGGAGUGAAAUAGAACCUGAAACCGCAUGCAUACAAACAGUGGGAGCCUCCUUGUGGGGUGACUGCGUACCUUUUGUAUAAUGGGUCAGCGACUUACGUUAUGUUGCGAGCUUAACCGAAUAGGGGAGGCGUAGCGAAAGCGAGUCUGAUAAGGGCGUUUAGUAGCAUGGCGUAGACCCGAAACCGGAUGAUCUAUCCAUGGCCAGGAUGAAGGUGCCGUAACAGGUACUGGAGGUCCGAACCCACUAACGUUGAAAAGUUAGGGGAUGAGCUGUGGAUAGGGGUGAAAGGCUAAACAAAUCCGGAAAUAGCUGGUUCUCCCCGAAAACUAUUUAGGUAGUGCGUCACAUAUCACUUCCGGGGGUAAAGCACUGUUAUGGCUAGGGGGUCAUCGCGACUUACCAAACCAUGGCAAACUCUGAAUACCGGAAAGUGCGAGUGUGGCAGACAGACAGUGGGUGCUAACGUCCAUUGUCAAGAGGGAAACAACCCAGACCGCCAGCUAAGGUCCCCAAGACACAGUUAAGUGGGAAACGAGGUGGGAAGGCAUAGACAGCUAGGAGGUUGGCUUAGAAGCAGCCACCCUUUAAAGAAAGCGUAAUAGCUCACUAGUCGAGUCGUCCUGCGCGGAAGAUGUAACGGGGCUCAAACUGUGCACCGAAGCUGCGGAUAUCGAAAGAUAUGGUAGGGGAGCGUUCUGUAGGUCUGUGAAGGUGUCUUGUAAAGGAUGCUGGAGAUAUCAGAAGUGCGAAUGCUGACAUGAGUAGCGAUAAAGGGAGUGAAAAGCUCCCUCGCCGAAAGCCCAAGGUUUCCUACGCAACGUUCAUCGGCGUAGGGUGAGUCGGCCCCUAAGGCGAGGCAGAAAUGCGUAGUCGAUGGGAAACAGGUCAAUAUUCCUGUACCGAUUCUAGAUGCGAUGUGGGGACGGAGAAGGUUAGGUCAGCCAACUGUUGGAAUAGUUGGUUUAAGCGUGUAGGCGUGCCCCUUAGGCAAAUCCGGGGGGCUUAGCUGAGGCGUGACGACGAGGCACUACGGUGCUGAAGUGAUUGAUACCAAGCUUCCAGGAAAAGCCACUAAGCUUCAGUCUAGAUUCGACCGUACCGCAAACCGACACAGGUGGGCAGGAUGAAAAUUCUAAGGCGCUUGAGAGAACUCAGGAGAAGGAACUCGGCAAAUUGACACCGUAACUUCGGGAGAAGGUGUGCCCCGGUAGGUUGUAGAGAUUUACUCUCGAAGGCCGAUGGGGUUGCAGUGAAAUGGUGGCUGCGACUGUUUAAUAAAAACACAGCACUCUGCAAACACGAAAGUGGACGUAUAGGGUGUGACGCCUGCCCGGUGCUGGAAGAUUAAGUGAUGGGGUGCAAGCUCUUGAUCGAAGUCCCAGUAAACGGCGGCCGUAACUAUAACGGUCCUAAGGUAGCGAAAUUCCUUGUCGGGUAAGUUCCGACCUGCACGAAUGGCGUAACGAUGGCCACACUGUCUCCUCCUGAGACUCAGCGAA